UACGUAGGGCGCAAGCGUUUGUCCGGAAUUAUUGGGCGUAAAGAGCUCGUAGGCGGCUUGUUGCGUCGGUUGUGAAAGCCCGGGGCUUAACCCCGGGUCUGCAGUCGAUGCGGGCAGGCUAGAGUGUGGUAGGGGAGAUCGGAAUUCCUGGUGUAGCGGUGAAAUGCGCAGAUAUCAGGAGGAACACCUGUGGCGAAAGCGGCUCACUGGACCACAACUGACGCUGAGGAGCGAAAGCAUGGGGAGCGAACAGG
rnacentral:rRNA from 1 species